GACGAACGCUGGCGGCGUGCCUAACACAUGCAAGUCGAGCGGAAAGGCGAUGCUUUUGUGGCGUUCUUGAGAGGCGAAGGGGUGAGUAACACGUGAGUAUCCUGCACUUGUCUUUGUGAUAACACCUCGAAACUGCGGCUAUUAUCGGGUAGGAGCUCUUGCUGCGUGUGGGGCGAUAGAGAGAGUCGGCGGUUGUGGAUCGUCUCGCGGGUUAUCCGCUUGUUUGUGAGGUAGUGGCUGACCAAGGUUUUGACGGGUAGCCGGCAUGAGAGGGGUGCCGGCCACCUUGGGACUGAGAUAGGGCCCAGACUCCUACGGGAGGCAGCAGGGGGGAAUAUGGCAGAAUGGGCGGAAGCCUGAUGCAGCAACGCCGCGAGCGUGAUGACGGCUUUCGAGUGGUAAACCGAUUUCGAAUGUGACGAAGCGUGCGUGACGGUAAUGGGUAAAGAAGCACCGGCUAACUACGUG
rnacentral:rRNA from 1 species